rnacentral:tRNA from 2 species
CGGGGCGUAGCGCAGUUUGGUAGCGCAUUAGUCUGGGGGACUAAGGGUCGCAGGUUCAAAUCCUGUCGCUCCGACCA